rnacentral:rRNA from 1 species
UGCCUACGGGGGGCUGCAGUGGGGAAUAUUGCACAAUGGGCGCAAGCCUGAUGCAGCGACGCCGCGUGAGGGAUGACGGCCUUCGGGUUGUAAACCUCUUUCAGCAGGGAAGAAGCGAAAGUGACGGUACCUGCAGAAGAAGCGCCGGCUAACUACGUGCCAGCAGCCGCGGUAAUACGUAGGGCGCAAGCGUUGUCCGGAAUUAUUGGGCGUAAAGAGCUCGUAGGCGGUCUGUCGCGUCUGCUGUGAAAACCCGGGGCUCAACCUCGGGCCUGCAGUGGGUACGGGCAGACUAGAGUGCGGUAGGGGAGACUGGAAUUCCUGGUGUAGCGGUGGAAUGCGCAGAUAUCAGGAGGAACACCGAUGGCGAAGGCAGGUCUCUGGGCCGCAACUGACGCUGAGGAGCGAAAGCGUGGGGAGCGAACAGGAUUAGAUACCCGUGUAGUC